rnacentral:rRNA from 1 species
UACGUAGGUGGCAAGCGUUAUCCGGAUUUAUUGGGCGUAAAUGGAACGCAGGCGGUCUUUUAAGUCUGAUGUGAAAGCCUUCGGCUUAACCGGAGUAGUGCAUUGGAAACUGGGAGACUUGAGUGCAGAAGAGGAGAGUGGAACUCCAUGUGUAGCGGUGAAAUGCGUAGAUAUAUGGAAGAACACCAGUGGCGAAAGCGGCUCUCUGGUCUGUAACUGACGCUGAGGUUCGAAAGCGUGGGUAGCAAACAGG